rnacentral:lncRNA from 1 species
AGUCCACUCAUUCAGAUAUUUACGGAGUAUCUCCUGUUUAGUAGGAACAGCCUGGGCACUAAGGAGUAAGACCCUGCUCUCUCAUUCUGGAAGUCAAGCGCUCCCAGAUGUCAGUUGAUGAGAACACACAUGAGAACCUCCUCAUUUCCUCAUCAUCUCUUGGGUAAGGGCAACUGCUCCUUUCAGUGGUGUCAGUUUUGUAAGUCAGUUUGACAAAAAGUGUGUGAUGAGGACAAGAGCACAGGGCUCUGGCCGUAGACAACCAGAGAAGAGGAGUGGGGCAGCCCAGCUUGUUAUUGAGACACCUAGUUGAAGGCAGUUAAGACAGAGCAGGAUGUGUGCUAAGGGCGCAGGUCCUUCCAACAGCCACCACCUCCACCCAGCGGUUGCCAGGGCAGCUUGGAGAGGAAAGGACUAUUCCUACAGGUGUAAUUUCAACCCACUCUUCUCUCCCUUUCUGCUAAAAUGAUAUUGGCAGGAAGCUGGGAGAAAAAUGAUUUGUGCAGUAAGCAGAUGGGCCCAUGGAAAAAGAGGGCAGGGCUCCUCAACUUCUCCCUUUCUGCACUGGUGUAGUCUCCCACAUACCUGGAUCUUUAUUGGGGAAAUAGAUGACUGCUACUCUAGGCUUUUUGUGCAAGAAAAGAGUACAGGAAGCCAUGGUUCACAGAGGCCUCUGGGGAGACUACGUUACUUUAGCUCCUGUCGUGGAUCAAUGUCUUUCUUAUUAUGAAAUUUUAGAAGGCUUUCAUUGGCAGAAAAAGUUAAAUAUGCUCACAUAUACAGGCUCCUACAGAGUUUGUAAGCCCCAUGUCUUAGUCUGCUUUUUGUAGGACUAGUAGAGUUGCUGAGCCCAGCUGACUUUCAAAGAAAAUGGGUUUGCUCAACAUUGUGUGUCUAUAAUGGACAUGAGAAACCCAAGUACAUGGUUCCACAUGACCAGCUCUUUUUUGAGGUGGUACUUCAGUUCCAUGGCAAAAACACAAACAACAAACAAACAAACAAACAAACAAACCAAACACAACACAAAACAAAGAAACAAGCAAAAAAAA